GGUACUCUGGGGAUAACAGGCUGAUACCGCCCAAGAGUUCAUAUCGACGGCGGUGUUUGGCACCUCGAUGUCGGCUCAUCUCAUCCUGGGGCUGUAGCCGGUCCCAAGGGUAUGGCUGUUCGCCAUUUAAAGAGGUACGUGAGCUGGGUUUAAAACGUCGUGAGACAGUUUGGUCCCUAUCUUCCGUGGGCGCUGCAGAUUUGAGGAAGCCUGCUCCUAGUACGAGAGGACCGGAGUGGACACACCUCUGGUGUAUCGGUUGUCACGCCAGUGGCAUUGCCGAGUAGCUAUGUGUGGAAGAGAUAACCGCUGAAAGCAUCUAAGCGGGAAACUCGUUUCAAGAUGAGAUCUGCCGGGGCCUUGAGCCCCCUAAAGAGUCGUUCAAGACCAGGACGUUGAUAGGCAGGGUGUGGAAGCGUAGUAAUGCGUUAAGCUAACCUGUACUAAUUGCUCGUGCGGCUUGACCCUAUAACUUUG
rnacentral:rRNA from 1 species